rnacentral:rRNA from 1 species
UGCGCCGGCGAUGGUUCAUUCAAAUUUCUUCCCUAUCAACUUUCGAUGUUUGGGUAUUGGCCAAACAUGGUCGCAACGGGUAACGGAGGGUUAGGGCUCGACCCCGGAGAAGGAGCCUGAGAAACGGCUACUACAUCCAAGGAAGGCAGCAGGCGCGCAAAUUACCCAAUCCCGAUUCGGGGAGGUAGUGACAAUAAAUACUGAUACAGGGCUCUUUUGGGUCUUGUAAUUGGAAUGAGUACAAUUUAAAUCCCUUAACGAGGAACAAUUGGAGGGCAAGUCUGGUGCCAGCAGCCGCGGUAAUUCCAGCUCCAAUAGCGUAUAUUAAAGUUGUUGUGGUUAAAAAGCUCGUAGUUGAACCUUGGGCCUGGCUGGCCGGUCCGCCUCACCGCGUGUACUGGUCCGGCCGGGCCUUUCCCUCUGUGGAACCUCAUGCCCUUCACUGGGUGUGGCGGGGAAACAGGACUUUUACUUUGAAAAAAUUAGAGUGCUCCAGGCAGGCCUAUGCUCGAAUACAUUAGCAUGGAAUAAUGAAAUAGGACGUGUGGUUCUAUUUUGUUGGUUUCUAGGACCGCCGUAAUGAUUAAUAGGGACAGUCGGGGGCAUCAGUAUUCAAUUGUCAGAGGUGAAAUUCUUGGAUUUAUUGAAGACUAACUACUGCGAAAGCAUUUGCCAAGGAUGUUUUCAUUAAUC